UGCAGUCGAACGAAUCCCAUCUGGGUAACUGGGUGGGGGAAGUGGCGAAAGGGGCAGUAAGGCGUGGGCAACCUACCCCGGGGAUCGGGAUAGCCGUCCUAACGGACGGAUAAUACCGGCGAUCUGGCGAGGAGGCAUCUUCUGGCCAGGAAAUGAAUUUCGCCUCGGGAGGGGCUCACGUAGUAUUAGCUUGUUGGCGGGGUAACGGCCCACCAAGGCCAAGAUGCUUAGCGGGUGUGAGAGCACGACCCGCGCCACUGGCACUGAGACACUGGCCAGACUCCUACGGGAGGCUGCAGUCGAGGAUCUUCGGCAAUGGGCGCAAGCCUGACCGAGCGACGCCGCGUGUGCGAUGAAGGCCUUCGGGUUGUAAAGCACUGUCGAGGGGGAGAAAAGCCCGCAAGGGUCUGAUCUAUCCCUGGAGGAAGCACGGGCUAAGUUCGUGCCAGCAGCCGCGGUAAGACGAACCGUGCGAACGUUGUUCGGAUUCACUGGGCUUAAAGGGCGCGUAGGCGGACGGUCAAGUCGGGGGUGAAAUCUUUCAGCUUAACUGGAAACGUGCCUUCGAUACUGAUCGUCUCGAGGGAGGUAGGGGCAUGCGGAACUUCCGGUGGAGCGGUGAAAUGCGUAGAUAUCGGAAGGAACGCCGGUGGCGAAAGCGGCGUGCUGGACCUCUUCUGACGCUGAGGCGCGAAAGCCAGGGGAGCGAACGGGAUUAGAUACCCCGGUAGUCCUGGCCCUAAACGAUGGGUACUAGAUUGUGGACUUAACAUGGGUUUCCCAAAUCGAAGCUAAAGUGUUAAGUACCCCGCCUGGGGAGUAUGGUCGCAAGGCUGAAACUCAAAGGAAUUUGACGGGGGCUCACAC
rnacentral:rRNA from 1 species